rnacentral:rRNA from 1 species
UACGUAGGGCGCAAGCGUUAUCCGGAAUUAUUGGGCGUAAAGAGCUCGUAGGCGGUCUGUCGCGUCGGCUGUGAAAUCCCGAGGCUCAACCUCGGGUCUGCAGUCGAUACGGGCAAACUAGAGUAUUGCAGGGGAGACUGGAAUUCCUGGUGUAGCGGUGAAAUGCGCAGAUAUCAGGAGGAACACCGGUGGCGAAGGCGGGUCUCUGGGCAAUAACUGACGCUGAGGAGGGAAAGCGUGGGGAGCGAACAGG